GUUGUGCUUGAUAAGAGUUAUUAUAAUGUGUUCUUUAUGUUUAGUUUGUUGGAUAUUUUCCUCUUCCAGGAAUGCACAAGCAAUGGUAGGAGGCAUCAGACCCUUCUGAUGCCUGAAGUCCCUUGGCUGGACCUCCCACUGCCGCCACCUUAAGCACCAGACACGUUGCUCUUUUUGUGGAUAGAAGUCCCAGUUGGCUUGCUGCUCUUCCAGGAUAUUGUUUUGGAGCUAUGGAUGCUAUGGAUCAUUCAGGAAAUGAAGCCAGUCAUGGUGAUACACACUGCAAUCCCGGGGACUCACGAGGCUGAGGUGGAAGAAUCGCAAAUUUGAGGCCAGAAUCAGCAACU